UGGGGAAUAUUGGACAAUGGGCGAAAGCCUGAUCCAGCCAUGCCGCGUGUGUGAAGAAGGUCUUCGGAUUGUAAAGCACUUUAAGUUGGGAGGAAGGGCAGUAAGUUAAUACCUUGCUGCUUUGACGUUACCGACAGAAUAAGCACCGGCUAACUCUGUGCCAGCAGCCGCGGUAAUACAGAGGGUGCAAGCGUUAAUCGGAAUUACUGGGCGUAAAGCGCGCGUAGGUGGUCUGUUAAGUUGGAUGUGAAAGCCCCGGGCUCAACCUGGGAAAUGCAUCCAAAACUGGCAAGCUAGAGUACGGUAGAGGGUGGUGGAAUUUCCUGUGUAGCGGUGAAAUGCGUAGAUAUAGGAAGGAACACCAGUGGCGAAGGCGACCACCUGGACUGAUACUGACACUGAGGUGCGAAAGCGUGGGGAGCAAACA
rnacentral:rRNA from 1 species